AUUGAACGCUGGCGGCAGGCCUAACACAUGCAAGUCGAACGGUAACAGGAAGCAGCUUGCUGCUUCGCUGACGAGUGGCGGACGGGUGAGUAAUGUCUGGGAAACUGCCCGAUGGAGGGGGAUAACUACUGGAAACGGUAGCUAAUACCGCAUAACGUCGCAAGACCAAAGAGGGGGACCUUCGGGCCUCUUGCCAUCGGAUGUGCCCAGAUGGGAUUAGCUUGUUGGUGAGGUAACGGCUCACCAAGGCGACGAUCCCUAGCUGGUCUGAGAGGAUGACCAGCCACACUGGAACUGAGACACGGUCCAGACUCCUACGGGAGGCAGCAGUGGGGAAUAUUGCACAAUGGGCGCAAGCCUGAUGCAGCCAUGCCGCGUGUAUGAAGAAGGCCUUCGGGUUGUAAAGUACUUUCAGCGGGGAGGAAGGGGAUGUGGUUAAUAACCGCAUUCAUUGACGUUACCCGCAGAAGAAGCACCGGCUAACUCCGUGCCAGCCGCCGCGGUAACAC
rnacentral:rRNA from 1 species